GCCGGCAAUAGUGCCGCACGUGCGCAUCUUGGGCUGCAGAGGUGUGGCCCUUUCAAACCACAAGAUAUCAGUUGGGCUGUAUGUCCAUGGUGUUCCGAUUAAAUCCAAUCUGUGAAACUUCCACUGUUGCUUCCAUGCGUAUCCCACCCUUGGGAGGGGCGCAUGGGACUACAAUCUAACACCGUGUUCUGUUGUUCAUGUCUGAGUGGUAACCCACAAUAUAACAAGUUAAAACUUUCAACAACGGAUCUCUUGGUUCUCGCAUCGAUGAAGAACGCAGCGAAAUGCGAUAAGUAGUGUGAAUUGCAGAAUUCAGUGAAUCAUCGAAUCUUUGAACGCACAUUGCGCCUUCUGGUAUUCCGGGAGGCAUGCCUGUUCGAGCGUCAUGAAAAGCAUCCUCAAGCAAACUUGCUUGGUUGUGGAAGAAGAUGGCUUCCAUCUCUUCUGGAAACCCUCAGCAGAAGGCCUUGCAACCUCCGGUGUGAUAAAACUAUUCACUUGACGGUUACAAAGUUUUCUUGCUGUACAGAACGCCCCCCCCAGCAUUUUCUACAUGUUUGACCUCGGAUCACGUAGGGAUACCCGCUGAACUUAAGCAUUUAAAGGGG
rnacentral:rRNA from 1 species